CGCAGAGUGACGGGGAUCAAUCCCCGGUAAUGCGGAGCCGAAAGGCGCGGUCACAAUCCCCGC
rnacentral:ribozyme from 1 species